UGGACUUUCACUCUGCUGAUGAUUCUUGGUAAGAGUCUUGAAUGUUGAUCUCAUUUAAACUUCAUGAGAAAUUUGUUAAGUCACUUUAUUUUGGUUUGUUUUGUAGGUACCAUGACCUCAGUCAGUUUGCCUGGACAAUCAUUGCAUAAAGUUAACAUGACAUGCACAUAUGAUAGCAAUGACAAAACAAAAGAAAUGUAUUUUUGUGAAGUACUGUGGUCAGAGUGCACACACCAAGCCAGGACUAAUUCUAAAGAUGAAUGUGUUGAUUCUGGAAAUUUCUCUCUGAAUAAAAACAAAAGAACAGCAGUUUUCAAUUUGACCAUCAGAGAUCAAAGAAAACAGGAUUCUGUGAAGAAUGGAGGUGAUAAAUCAAUAAUAUAUUUCUGCACUGAAGCGAACCUGACCAUUAUAUCGGAAGCCACAGAAGUCACAGCAAAUGACCCAUCACAAGAUGAUAGGGAAGGUAGGCCUAAUUAAUUAUUUAAUUUUUAUUUGAUUGAUUGAUAUACUGUAUUUUUCAAUGUUAAGUAGUUUAAAAGAGUUGUGACUGAAUAAUA
ensembl:lncRNA